rnacentral:lncRNA from 1 species
CCCCCCGCUUCCCGUCGCCCGCUCCCCGCCCGGUGGGUGCCGCCCGCUGCCGGGCGCUGCCGUUCCGCUCCGGAACCAUUGUCUGCGAGUGAUGCCGCGCGGUCAAAGGGAGAGGGGAGGGCGCUCGUUUCCAGGCUCCCGAGACAAACGAGUCCGCCUUUCAUCCUUUAAAACGAGGUUUAAAUGUCACCUCCACGUCUUUCACGGACGGGGGCGAGCCUUCAAAGCUCUCCGUCAUAAACAGCCCUUAUUAAACGCGUCCCCGCCUGGGAAAGCCGAGGGCCGAGGGGCCGGGCCCGAGCCGUACGCGCCGUCGGGGCCCCGGAGCGGGGGCUGCGGGCCGGGCCGAGCCGCCGCUUUUUGUGGCGUCUGCGAGUCUGGGGCGGGCGGUGCCGGGGUGCGGGCUGCAUGCUAAGGGAUCCCGCGGGCGGCCCGGCAAAGGAGAACAAAUCGCUGACAAAGGAGGGCCCUUCCAGCCCAGCGCCGUCGUUAGGGCAACCAGCGGGCAUUCGCCCCAUAAUAAGUUCCACUUCAAAGGGUCCCCCAUUCAGCGGGGGCCGCGCCGCACUUUUAUGAAGUCGGCGCUUUUUCACGCGGCGGAAUCAUCUGUUUGGUUAUUUUUCAUCGUGUUUAUUUUGCGCCAUUCACCCAGCGCUCGUAUUAAAUAAACACGGGACAAUCGCUCUGCAAAUAACGGGGCUGAGGUGGGAAAUAAGCGGGGGGGGGAGAGGGGCGGGAGGGGCGGCAUCGCCCCGCGUGCGCGUGUUUGUUUACGGCACAAAAUACGGGAGGGGGGGGGGGGGGGAAGGAGGGCAGAAAUAUGGGGGGUUCCGAUGGAGCCGAAAGCUGCCGGCGCUAACGCGGCGUGACACCAAAGGUCGCCGCAACUGUAUCUUAAUAGAGUGUCGCGAAUCGCGGUGCGCCGCUCCGAACGCGGCCGCUCCGCUGCGCCCAUCGCCAUGGCGAUGCCGGAGCCGCGGGGACGCGCGGGACGGCGGCGGGGCCGUGCGGGAACGUGGGGAGGGGGUGCGGGUGUGUGCGUGCGGGCGGGUGCGCGGUUGUGCGGGUGGUUGGAUAGACGAGCGCGGCUACGCGGGCGCGUGGACGUACGCGCCUACGUGAGUAUAUCUACGCGUGUCCACGUGCGACACGCGUGCAUGCGUGUAUACGUGUGUACGUGCGUCCUCGUACCUCACCUCGCAACACCUCGCCUCGGUCCCCUCGCCCCAUACCGUCUCCCACACCCCUCGGUCCUCCCCGUCCGUCCCCUCGCAGCACCGCGCCCCGCAGCCCGGCACGGGGCUGCCUGCCGAAGGGGAGCGCGUCCCUCCCACGCUGCCGGCC